GAGAGGAAAUUCAUUACCGGUUAAUGGGUAAGAAUAGCCUUGUUGGGAAAAAUGCAAAAAAGCUAGGAUUUACAACUUCCAGUUACUGGGCAGAAGACCAAGGGUGAGAGUAUCCGUAAUCAGUUAGGAUGAACAUAUCAAGGAUAAACUCGAUAGGGAAGAAAAUCCGUCACCGGUUAAGAUGAACAUAUCAAGGAUA
rnacentral:lncRNA from 1 species